AGGUUCUGUAACAAUCAAGAACACGUGGACACCUACCUGUGGGAGGAGGCUUGGGGGAACACUGUUUCUGGUUGCUGCUGAAGCCAGCAUUCUGGAGAUGGACAGCUGCUCAAGGAAAUGAAGGGAGAUUUUGUAAAUUGCAGAUUCUAAGCAGGACAAGGACUGUUGCUUCCCUGAGUUGGCCUGCUUUUCCAGAGUAUCUUAAAAGGUCUCUUGAAACAAAUAAAAUACUCAGAACUUCUGGGACUGUCACAGACAGUGUCCUGUUACUGGCUUUAAACAGUCCCUCAUGA
ensembl:processed_transcript